GACAGAGGUGCCGAGCGUUAGGCGGAAUCACUGGGCUUAAAGCGUGUGUAGGCGGAUGCCUAAGUACCUUGUGAAAUCCCACGGCUCAACCGUGGAACUGCUGGGUAUACUGGGUGUCUUGAGCCACCUAGGGGCGAGCGGAACAGACGGUGGAGCGGUGAAAUGCGUAGAUAUCGUCUGGAACGCCAAUGGUGAAGACAGCUCGCUGGGGGUGCGCUGACGCUGAGACACGAAAGCCAGGGGAGCGAACGGG
rnacentral:ncRNA from 2 species